CGGGAGGUUGCUGCUAUCAGGAUUCGAUUUAGCCAUGCAAGUCAAGGGGUUUCUUCGGAGACACCGGCAGACUGCUCAGUAACACGUCGAUAACCUACCCUUUGGAGGGGGAUAAUCUUGGGAAACUGAGUUUAAUACCCUAUAGGAGAUUAUAACUGGAAUGUUUUUUCCCUGAAAGAUUUUUCGCCAAAGGAUGGGUCGGCGGUCAAUUAGGUUGUUGGCGGUGUAACGGACCACCAAGCCUACGAUUGGUAGGGGCCUUGAGAGAGGUAGCCCCGAGAAGGACACUGAGAAACAGGUCCUAGCCCUACGGGGUGCAGCAGGCGCGAAACCUUUACACUGUACGAAAGUGCGAUAAGGGAAUCCUGAGUGCUCAAGCAUUGCUUGGGCUUUUGCCAAAUGUAAAUAAUUUGGCGAAUAAGUGGUGGGCAAGACUGGUGCCAGCCGCCGCGGUAACACCAGCGCCACGAGUGGCAAUCAUUUUUAUUGGGCCUAAAGCGUUCGUAGCCGGUUUGAUAAAUUUUCUGUGAAAUUGUAUAGCUCAACUAAACACCGAGCAGAAAAAACUGUCAGACUAGGGACCGGGAGGAGUCAGAGGUAUUCAAUGGGGAGCGGUAAAAUGCUAUAAUCCAUUGAAGACCACCUGUGGCGAAGGCGUCUGACUAGAACGGAUCCGACGGUGAGGGACGAAAGCUAGGGGAGCAAACCGGAUUAGAUACCCGAGUAGUCCUAGCAGUAAACUUUGCGAGCUGGGUGUUGCAUAUUCUUCGUGAAUAUGCAGUGUCGUAGCGAAGGCGUUAAGCUCGCCGCCUGGGGAGUACGGUCGCAAGGCUGAAACUUAAAGGAAUUGGCGGGGGAGCACCACAAGGGGUGCGGCGUGCGGUUUAAUCUAAUUCAACGCAGAAAAUUUCACCAGAGGCGACGGCAGGAUGAAGGUCAGUCUAAAGGGCUUACCUGACGAGCCGAGAGGUAGUGCAUGGCCGCCGUCAGCUCGUGCCGUGAGGUGUCCUGUUAAGCCAGGUAACGAGCGAGACCUACGUCCAUAAUUGCUAACAGGCUUUGUGACUGAGCACAUUAUGGGGACUGCCCGGGAAACUGGGAGGAAGGUGUAGGCUACGGUAGGUCUGUAUGCUCCGAAUCCUCUGGGCUACACGCGCGCAACAACGGUAGGGACAAUGGGAUGCAACCCCGAAAGGGGAAGCCAAUCCUCUAAACCCUAUCUAAGUCCAGAUCGUGGAUUGUAACUCAUCCACGUGACGUUGGAAUCCCUAGUAAUCGGGUCUCAUUACAGCCCGGUGAAUAAGUCCCUGCUCCUUGCACACACCGCCCGUCAAACCACUCGAGCAGAGUUUAGGUGAGGUUUAGUCUUUUUGAUUGAAUCAAAUCUAAGCUCAGUGAGAUGGGUUAAGUCGUCACAAGGUA
rnacentral:rRNA from 1 species